CCCCUAGAUGUUCUGGGCCGCACGCGCGCUACACUGAACAGUUCAACAAGUCUUAACCUUGGCCGAUAGGUCUGGGCAAUCUUUGAACGCUGGUCGUGAUGGGGAUAGACUUUUGCAAUUUUUGGUCUUCAACGAGGAAUUCCUAGUAAACGCAAGUCAUCAACUUGCAUUGAUUACGUCCCUGCCCUUUGUACACACCGCCCGUCGCACCUACCGAUUGAAUGGUCCGGUGAAAUCUCGGGACGGCGGCUUGGUCGCUUGCGUCCGACUGCUGAAACUUGAUUAAACCAUAUCAUUUAGAGGAAGGUGAAGUCGUAACA
rnacentral:rRNA from 1 species